UACGUAGGGUGCAAGCGUUGUCCGGAAUUAUUGGGCGUAAAGAGCUCGUAGGCGGUUCAGUAAGUCGGGUGUGAAAACUCUGGGCUUAACCCAGAGACGCCACCCGAUACUGCUGUGACUUGAGUACGGUAGGGGAGCAGGGAAUUCCUGGUGUAGCGGUGAAAUGCGCAGAUAUCAGGAGGAACACCGGUGGCGAAGGCGCUGCUCUGGGCCGAAACUGACGCUGAGGCACGAAGGUCAGGGGAGCAAACGGG
rnacentral:rRNA from 1 species